GACGAACGCUGGCGGCGUGCCUAAUACAUGCAAGUAGAACGCACAGUUUAUACCGUAGCUUGCUACACCAUAGACUGUGAGUUGCGAACGGGUGAGUAACGCGUAGGUAACCUGCCUGGUAGCGGGGGAUAACUAUUGGAAACGAUAGCUAAUACCGCAUAAUAUUAAUUAUUGCAUGAUAAUUAAUUGAAAGGUGCAAUUGCACCACUACCAGAUGGACCUGCGUUGUAUUAGCUAGUAGGUGAGGUAACGGCUCACCUAGGCGACGAUACAUAGCCGACCUGAGAGGGUGAUCGGCCACACUGGGACUGAGACACGGCCCAGACUCCUACGGGAGGCAGCAGUAGGGAAUCUUCGGCAAUGGACGAAAGUCUGACCGAGCAACGCCGCGUGAGUGAAGAAGGUUUUCGGAUCGUAAAGCUCUGUUGUAAGAGAAGAACGGGUGUGAGAGUGGAAAGUUCACACUGGG
rnacentral:rRNA from 1 species